UGUAUAUUUCAACUAGGCGAAAUGUGCAGAAAGCAGAAUAAUGAAAGUGCAAUACGAUGUCGCCUUCGUCACAAGUGUACAGAUAUCAUGUUGAUUCAAUGAUUAACAGACUUGCUUGUUUAGAUAGUCUAUUUUCAGCCUGUGAUAUCAGGAAAUGGGCCUGGGUAGGUCAUUGUAGCUUCUGUAUUCAUGCCCUAGUUAGGUCCCGUCUUCAACUGCAACUACACGGAUGAUCCAUGAUCGGUAUCCAACAACAAGGGGCAUUAACUGUACUGAAGUAAUAACCGAUCUGCUGAUCAAUACAGACAAACGUGAACUGGUCUUGAGUGUUACUGGCGUUCGCGUUACAGGAAUACAUAAACUGCGUCAUCAUGGCACUGAACAUCCCUGGACUCAUCUCCGUCAUCGUGUUCUACGUCCUCAUCCUCGUCAUCGGCAUCAUCGCCGCCAGGAAGAGCAGAAACAGUAACGCCGAAGACUCAUUCGUGGCCAAUAGAAGCAUCGGGCUGUGGCUGUCGUUCUUUACACUUAC